AGCGAACGCUGGCGGCAGGCCUAACACAUGCGAGUCGAACGGAUCCUUCGGGAUUAGUGGCGGACGGGUGAGUAACACGUGGGAACGUGCCCUUUGGUUCGGAACAACUCAGGGAAACUUGAGCUAAUACCGGAUGUGCCCUUCGGGGGAAAGAUUUAUCGCCAUUGGAGCGGCCCGCGUCUGAUUAGCUAGUUGGUGAGGUAAAGGCUCACUAAGGCGACGAUCAGUAGCUGGUCUGAGAGGAUGAUCAGCCACAUUGGGACUGAGACACGGCCCAAACUCCUACGGGAGGCAGCAGUGGGGAAUCUUGCGCAAUGGGCGAAAGCCUGACGCAGCCAUGCCGCGUGAAUGAUGAAGGUCUUAGGAUUGUAAAAUUCUUUCACCGGGGACGAUAAUGACGGUACCCGGAGAAGAAGCCCCGGCUAACUUCGUGCCAGCAGCCGCCGUAAAAC
rnacentral:rRNA from 1 species